GAAGCACAAUACUAGUGAACCUCACAGAGGUCCAAAGGGGAAGUUCAGCAUCCAAAGCCGACUCCCUCUUUCCCCCCACGAAUGGCUACCUGGGCAGAUGUACACCUGCAGGGUGAACCAUUGUAACGGAAACAUAGCCCUGAACAUGUCCAAACCAGAGAUUCUUGAAGAAAGUGUGUUAUUUGACGAGAACAAACAGGUUUUCGUCCAAGACAUGGGGGAGGACAACUGGAUGAUGACCAUUACCUUCCUCCUCCUGUUCUUCGUCUCCCUUUUCUAUGGCAUCUUGGUCACGGUUAUAAAGACAAAGUGAGAAGGACCUCAAGAAACAUCUAGUGGAUCCUGUAAUGUGAAGCAGAGGAUGCAAAGGAAGCAACUAUUUCCAUUACAGCAAUGAAUUAUAACUGAUGUAUGAUGAUAAUGUUAUGUGACUAGCCAUAAAGAAUAUUAUAAUAAAAAAUAUAGAAUAAAAUAAAAAUGAUAUCAAUGGUACCUGGAAAAUUCUAAACAUUGUAUUAGGAUAUAAACCAUAAAGUGGAGUCAAGGGAGCCUAUACAGUA